GACGAACGCUGGCGGCGUGCUUUAUACAUGCAAGUCGAACGAUGAAGUUCCUUCGGGAAUGGAUUAGUGGCGAACGGGUGAGGAACACGUGAGAAACCUGCCUUUCAUUCUGGGAUAACACCGGGAAACCGGUGCUAAUACCGGAUACUCCGUCUUGGCGGCAUCGCCGAGCCGGGAAAAAAUUUUGAUGAAAGAUGGUCUCGCGGCCUAUCAGCUAGUUGGUGAGGUAAAGGCUCACCAAGGCGACGACGGGUAGCCGGCCUGAGAGGGCGACCGGCCACACUGGGACUGAGACACGGCCCAGACUCCUACGGGAGGCAGCAGUAGGGAAUAUUGGGCAAUGGGCGCAAGCCUGACCCAGCGACGCCGCGUGAGGGAUGAAGGUCUUCGGAUUGUAAACCUCUUUCAGUAGGGAAGAAGCGAAAGUGACGGUACCUAAAGAAGAAGCACCGGCUAACUAUGUGCCAGCAGCCGCCGUAACAC
rnacentral:rRNA from 1 species